GGCCCCGUGACACGAAUGGCUAGGUACUCUCUCGCACAGAGUUUUAUGCCGGUUCGAAUCCGGCCGAGGCCU
rnacentral:tRNA from 1 species